rnacentral:rRNA from 1 species
CCUACGGGGGGCAGCAGUGGGGGAUAUUGCACAGUGGGGGAAACCCUGAUGCAGCGACGCCGCGUGGGUGAAGAAGCGCCUCGGCGCGUAAAGCCCUGUCAGCAGGGAAGAAAAUGACGGUACCUGAAGAAGAAGCCCCGGCUAACUACGUGCCAGCAGCCGCGGUAAUACGUAGGGGGCAAGCGUUAUCCGGAUUUACUGGGUGUAAAGGGGGCGCAGACGGCGAUGCAAGCCAGGAGUGAAAGCCCGGGGCCCAACCCCGGGACUGCUCUUGGCACUGCGUGGCUAGAGUGCAGGAGGGGGAG